rnacentral:rRNA from 1 species
UGGGGAAUAUUGCACAAUGGGCGCAAGCCUGAUGCAGCCAUGCCGCGUGUAUGAAGAAGGCCUUCGGGUUGUAAAGUACUUUCAGUCGGGAGGAAGGUGGUAAGGUUAAUAACCUUAUCAAUUGACGUUACCGACAGAAGAAGCACCGGCUAACUCCGUGCCAGCAGCCGCGGUAAUACGGAGGGUGCAAGCGUUAAUCGGAAUUACUGGGCGUAAAGCGCACGCAGGCGGUUGAUUGAGUCAGAUGUGAAAUCCCCGGGCUUAACCCGGGAAUUGCAUCUGAUACUGGUCAGCUAGAGUCUUGUAGAGGGGGGUAGAAUUCCAUGCGUAGCGGUGAAAUGCGUAGAGAUGUGGAGGAAUACCGGUGGCGAAGGCGGCCCCCUGGACAAAGACUGACGCUCAGGUGCGAAAGCGUGGGGAGCAAACAGG